rnacentral:lncRNA from 1 species
UUAGCUCCCUUUAAUAUUCCACACGUUUCUUCACUCCACGCACCAUCUGAUGGCUCCUGAGAUUUUGUAGGUGCAGAAGUGGAGGAGUCCUUCUACUUGAAGGCUCUUCCACAACUAGAACUUCUAUAUGAAGAAUUUAUUCUUUGUGGAAGACUAGGGGAUAACGCGUUGGAUUUAUUUAUGCCAAACAUUUUUCUUCUCCCAUUGCUCUUAAUUUUUACAUGCCAAUUUUUAUGGGACCAGAGAAGGAAGAGUCCUUCUACUCCUAGACUUCCUCACACACCAUUUUAAUGUGACAUUUUAUUUUUACCAUGUGGAGAAGUUGGGAUGCCAAAAGUUGGCAUCCCUUGGAGAUGAUGUGGCACCCCUUUGUUACCUAUUUAAAGGGGGCACUACACGUUGGUUCCACUCCCAAUUUUGGAUGAGAGUUGGCAUGAAAAUGAAGAGGAAAAUGUGGGAAAAAGUCUAGAAAAAAGAUAAGAAAAAAGAGGAAGAAAAAUGGAAAGGAAAGGGAGAGAGGAAAAGGAAAGCAUGAGAUGCUUGUCCUAAAAUCAGUUUGUUCAAAUGUUGAACAUCUGAUUUAAUUUUUGUGUAGUGUGAUCUUUUAAGAAAGGGUUUUUAAAGAAGUCUUAGUAGAGAUCAUAAAGGCAUACAAGCAAUGGUGCAACCAGUUCUUACGAAGGAUGGUCGGCAGCA